rnacentral:rRNA from 1 species
GAGCAAUUCGCUUGAGGAUGAGUCCGCGUGAGAUUAGCUAGUUGGCGGGGUAAUGGCCCACCAAGGCGACGAUCUCUAGCUGGUCUGAGAGGAUGAUCAGCCACACUGGAACUGAGACACGGUCCAGACUCCUACGGGAGGCAGCAGUAGGGAAUAUUGCGCAAUGGAGGAAACUCUGACGCAGCGACGCCGCGUGAGUGAUGAAGGCCUUCGGGUCGUAAAGCUCUGUCGUAUGGGACUAACAAAAUG